rnacentral:rRNA from 1 species
ACUCAAAUGAAUUGACGGGGGCCCGCACAAGCGGCGGAGCAUGUUGCUUAAUUCGAUGCAACGCGAAGAACCUUACCUAGGUUGAACUACGCAGGAAAAGCUGCAGAGAUGCAGUGUCCGAAAGGGUCUGCGAUAGGUGGUGCAUGGCUGUCGUCAGCUCGUGUCGUGAGAUGUUGGGUUAAGUCCCGCAACGAGCGCAACCCUUAUUCUAUGUUGCCAGCGGAUAAUGCCGGGGACUCGUAGAAGACUGCCGGGGUCAACUCGGAGGAAGGUGGGGAUGACGUCAAGUCAUCAUGCCCCUUAUGCCUAGGGCUGCAAACAUGCUACAAUGGCCAGUACAAAGGGCUGCUAUCCCGCGAGGGUGAGCGAAUCCCAUAAAGCUGGUCUCAGUUCGGAUUGGAGUCUGCAACUCGACUCCAUGAAGUCGGAGUCGCUAGUAAUCCCGGAUCAGCAAUGCCGGGGUGAAUACGUUCCCGGGCCUUGUACACACCGCCCGU